rnacentral:rRNA from 1 species
CCCUUAGACGUCCUGGGCCGCACGCGCGCUACACUGAUGCAUUCAACGAGUUUUACCUUGGCCGAGAGGCCUGGGCAAUCUUUUGAACCUGCAUCGUGAUAGGGAUAGAUUAUUGCAAUUAUUAAUCUUGAACGAGGAAUUCCUAGUAAACGCAGAUCAUCAAUCUGCAUUGAUUACGUCCCUGCCCUUUGUACACACCGCCCGUCGCACCUACCGAUUGAAUGGUCCGGUGAAGCCUCGGGAUUGUGGCGAGUUCCCUUUAUUGGGAGUUUGUCGCGAGAACUUGUCUAAACCUUAUCAUUUAGAGGAAGGUGAAGUCGUAACA